rnacentral:rRNA from 1 species
UACAGAGGGUGCGAGCGUUAAUCGGAAUUACUGGGCGUAAAGCGCGUGUAGGCGGCCCGGAAAGUCGGAUGUGAAAGCCCUGGGCUUAACCUAGGAAGUGCAUUCGAAACUCCCGGGCUUGAGUUCUGGAGAGGAAGGCGGAAUUCUCGGUGUAGAGGUGAAAUGCGUAGAUAUCAGGAGGAACACCGGUGGCGAAGGCGGCUCUCUGGACCACAACUGACGCUGAGGCGCGAAAGCUAGGGGAGCAAACAGG